CGUGGCCCAGGGUGGUCCCCGCGUGGGUGGUCCCCGCGUGGGCGGCCAGGGUGUCCAUCCUCCCGGUCCCUCCCGCCCUGCAG
rnacentral:miRNA from 1 species